ACAUACACAGUCAUCUUAUACUUCAAAAUCAAUCAAUCUACACAAAACAGGUUACUUUGGUAACAUAAUGUUUCAAUGGACUAAUCUAAAAUAUUAGAUGCAAAACUAAAUAGUUCUUUAAGCCAUAUAUUGAAUCUUAACUGAAAAAGUUACAUGUUUGACAUGUAAAAACUGAACAUUAAAAACUUAAUCUUAAUUGUACAAAACAAAAUCU
rnacentral:lncRNA from 1 species